rnacentral:tRNA from 1 species
UGGUAAUUAGUUUAAAACAAAAACAAAUGAUUUCGACUCAUUAAAUUAUGAUAUAACAUAAUUACCAA